rnacentral:rRNA from 1 species
UUUCCUACGGGGGGCAGCAGUGAGGAAUAUUGGUCAAUGGGCGCGAGCCUGAACCAGCCAAGUAGCGUGAAGGAUGACUGCCCUACGGGUUGUAAACUUCUUUUAUAAAGGAAUAAAGUGAGGCACGUGUGCCUUUUUGUAUGUACUUUAUGAAUAAGGAUCGGCGAACUCCGUGCCAGCAGCCGCGGUAAUGCGGAGGAUCCGAGCGUUAUCCGGAUUUAUUGGGUUUAAAGGGUGCGUAGGCGGUUUGAUAAGUUAGAGGUGAAAUGUCGGGGCUCAACCCCGAAACUGCCUCUAAUACUGUU